rnacentral:ncRNA from 1 species
GCUUCACUUUAGGGGUGUUUUCCAGGCCACCAUACCCGGAAAGCUGAGAUGAGACCCUCAGGACCUGACGCAGUUCAUACUGCCGUAGGGAAAAGUACCUGGUUCAGC